UGGAACCCCAUCUCUACUAAAAAAUACAAAAUUAGCCGGAAGUGGUGGUGCAUCCCUUCCAAGGGAUUACAGAAAAGGCUCAGGUUAUUGAAUUCAUUGGAGAAUGCUGCUCUGAAUUUGUAUUUUAAGGGAAAUAUUACAGAAUGUCACAGAAGAUGUUGGUUGGAUAUCUAAAGUUCAAAAAGGAAGAGAACCACUUGAGCUGGAGAUUCAAGAAGCAUCAGUAGAAGUCAAUGGCCAUUAAUAAAAACAUUUUUUAUUAAAAUAUUGAAUCUGAAUAGAAA